GCUCUAAGGGUUCACUCAGAUUCGCCUUGGCUCGACGGAGAAGAAGCAAACCAGACGAGAGAUGAGGGCAGCAGCCCAAGCCGGAGCGUCGAAUUCACGAGCUCUGGAAGCAACGGCCGCGCCAGAUUUAGCGCAGGUAGCGGAAGUUCCGAUGCCUUGUCCAGAUGAAGCCGCGGCCCGUCUCUCCGAUUCGCCACCAUCGCCUGUGUCAUGGAAACAGGUCAUAUGAUAACCAAGAGGAACAACUGACACAUGAGGAUUCCCAUGUGCGCGGAUCAGAAUCACCCCAGUCGACACGUGUAUGGAAGAAGAGGGCCGGGUCUUGCUAAAUAGCGGCGGAUUGAUCGAGAAGCAUACAAGCAAGAUCUACAUUCUUGUAUAAUAUUUUCGAGGUACAGAUUUUUCUAUCUGCUUCAUAUACUGCGCAAGAGAUCAUUUGGGGGACAAGGUAUAUUGGUGUUCACUUCGAGGCGGAGAAGAGGGAGAGGUGGUCCUACCGGCAUUUGAGGUUCAGGUUGAUAUGGCAACAAACUUUUUCCAAUGCGACUGUGGGAUAUAUGAGCAUAUGGGUAUGAUAUGUUACCAUGUUAUCCAGGUCUGAUCCUCCUUGGGAAGAACCGAAAUACCAUCUAGCAAGAGCCAAACCUGGUUAUGGGGUUAGUGUGUCAAGGACUCAUUUUUGCUCUGUGUGCCGCAGCAGGGCACAUAACGCUGGGGGAUGCCCCUCUGUUGAGAGAAGCUCUAAGAAGCCUAGGCGGGAGGCAAGGUGUUCUAACUGUGGCAUUGUUGGACAUAAGAAGAAUGUAUGUUUAUCACGGGGUUAUAUGAUGAUGAAUGAGUGAAAUAUCUUGGGGUCUCUUUCCAGCCAAACACAUCUCGUGUUCAAUUUUUUUUCCGGUCCAUCAGACACCAUCUGAACUCUUCAUUGGCUGACCAGAUCAGCUAUGUAAUAAUAUUUAGAUGUUAGGCACCAACUGGAUGUGAUUCCUGUUUUACUGGGCUGAUGGGUACCAUAAUUUUGCAUGCUUGAAGCUAGUUAUGUCAGUAUGAAGUCAAUGAAAAUGGG